rnacentral:lncRNA from 1 species
CUCUGUUAUAAUGGAUUUCAGCGCAAGACAUUUAGCAUUUCUGAAGUGGCUGCUUCUUCCCAGACAAUGCAUCUAGUCAAACUCCUCUUUUGCUGCUGAUGAAAUUCACCAAAAAGACUACGUGUGCAUCAGCUAACAGACUCUCAGGCUGGCCCUUUACCUCUGCUGCUCAUAGCAAAUUGAAAAACCAAAAACCAGAAACCAAAAAACCUGACAUGGAAAAACAUCCAAUUUUGCCAGAGAAAGAUUUGGUGGGCUCCUGGGCACCAUCAGAACUGGUAAAGCCAAAUGACUCUCAAAGCAUGUUGAAAGAAGGAGCCAGCCUAUUCUUCAGGUUAUAUCAACUAGAAAGAUGUCAACAAGAUAUAGAGAAAAUUAAUUCAUGGAUGACUUUAAAAAUAAGGCAAUGACUAUAGGUUGGACUUGGAUACAGUUGAACACAACGAUCAGAUUGUAUUUACCUUUGUAUCCCAGGAUGUAACACAACACCUGGUAUGUAACAUUUGUUUGAUAAGUAAACAUCUGUCAAAAGAAGAAAACAUGGGUGGUCUAACUGUGGCCCGUUAGACCAAAUCUAGCCUUUUCUUAUUUUGCACAGUCCCUGAACAUGUUCAUGUACUGACAUAAUGUCUAUGGCUACUUUCAUGCUACAAGGCUUCUUGUCCUGCAAAGCUAAAACAAAUUACUAUCUGGCUCUUUAUAAAAAUGUUUUCUAGUGUCUGUGUAGGACGGUGCUUGAAAAAAUGAAAAAAAAAAAAACUAGUCA